GGAGUUAGCCGGUGCUUCUUCUGUGAGUGAUGUCCUUCCUGCCGGCUAUUAACCCGCAGGCCUUCUUCCUCACUGAAAGUGCUUUACAACCCGAAGGCCUUCUUCACACACGCGGCAUGGCUGGAUCAGGGUUGCCCCCAUUGUCCAAUAUUCCCCACUGCUGCCUCCCGUAGGAGUCUGGGCCGUGUCUCAGUCCCAGUGUGGCUGAUCAUCCUCUCAGACCAGCUACGGAUCGUCGCCUUGGUGAGCCGUUACCUCACCAACCAGCUAAUCCGACAUAGGCUCAUCCGAUAGCGCGAGGCCCUAAGGUCCCCCGCUUUCCCCCGUAGGGCGUAUGCGGUAUUAGCCUGGGUUUCCCCAGGUUAUCCCCCACUACCGGGCAGAUUCCUAUGCAUUACUCACCCGUCCGCCGCUCGCCACCAGGGAGCAAGCUCCCCGUGCUGCCGCUCGACUUGCAUGUGUUAGGCCUGCCGCCAGCGUUCAAUCUGAGCCAUAAUCAAACUCUGA
rnacentral:rRNA from 1 species